ensembl:lncRNA
UUUGGUUUAAUUUUCAGAGCUUUCCUUCCGAUUCACAUUCUGAGCAAUGGUGCUCGUUUAAUGGGGUCUUUAGCCCAAUAUGAAUCAUCAGUAGAGGCCAAUUGUGUUCUUGUCAGGGCAAUAUCUUUAAUAUGUGUAAACUUGGAGCUUCCACAGCACAGGGGGUGAAUACUUAUGCAAACUUAAUAUAAUAUUUUCAUUCAUGAAGCUAAUAUCAUUGUUUUAAAAUAAAAUACGGCACAGCACCAAAUACCAAACUUUCAUUUGUAAUCCAUAUGUAUCUGUUGGCUUUUAAGGGGGUUUUUCAAGGCACUGUAGCAAUUAAUACAUCUUUUUACAGCCUUUGGUUUAUGUGAAACAUGUUAUAGACACACAUGGUCAAAACCAGAUUUUUAUACAUUUCACGGUCGUUUUCCUGAAUUCAGUGGCAGCAACAUCCGAUGUUUUUUUUUUUUUUUCAGACCAUGACACACUGUGUCUGUGUGUGUUUUCACAAUCUUGUACAGUAUCUUCUUGCAUUGUAUAGUUUGCCCCAUUUUAGUUUAUUUUCUUCUUCUUCUUUUUUUUUUGGGGGGGGGGGGUGGAUCCUGUCAACUUUGGUAAAAGUGCCACUCCGAUCAAUGGCACAAACACUUAACAUAUUACAGCCUCCUCCAAAGAUUUGUUCAGGUAGCUCUCAGCUUUCAAACUGAGUGUCUAAUUGCUGUAAUAUGUUCUCCCUUCAUUUAAUCUGUAAACAUUGCUGUUUUCAAUGUCUCUGGCACCUGCCCUGUUCUCCAGCUUCGUCUCUGGCGCAGGACUCCCUUCAUCAUCCUCAAAUACACUGCUCUGCCAAAGAUGCACGUAGUUCAGCGUGGUCUAAAUCAAUGUGGCCUGGUCCACACCGGGACUAACCCCCCUCCUGCCUGCCACCUCUCACCAUGCUACCGUAUUAGGAAAAUAAUGCCAUUGAUCCAGCAGGACGUCAGGCUGAGCAUUAAAUUAGAAAAGCGGCAAGUUGGGCCCACCAGGUUUCCCCUGCUCGCUCGGUUUAGGAGACGUGGCGAUGAAGGAAGACUUUCCCGCUGCCCUAGAUGAUAACCGGAAGAGCACAUGAUGUCCCGAUGGAUGAUGGAGACGGGGUCCUGCUCGGUCUGCGUCCAUUACAGGAGCAGUAUAGGGGAACGGGUCGAUCAGAGGCAGAGCAGCAGGGAGACGAUGGUGUGUGUCCCGAAAACAGUGUGAUCCCACUAUAGCCAUGCUAUUGGGAGGAAGAUACAGAGCGUGACUCUGACGACACGGACAGAUGAAGAGCUGAGAUUGAUUGAUUGAGAGAUAUUGGAAGAAAUUUAAUGAAGCACAUUUAAAACACUGUCUUUCGACCAAAUUCUUUACUGAGAAAAUCUACUAGAUAGAAACACUGAUUAUUUUACACCCUUCAUAUCAAUUAUGUUGUUGUUAUUGUUGUUGUUGUUGUUGUUGUUGUUCAGUGUACUCAUCCUGUCCUGUAUUAAAACUGAGCAGGAGAGAUGCAUGAUGGCCCACUUCUCCGCGUCCUUGAGAGGCGUAUGUCAGCGCCAGGGGCUUGUAACUUGUGUGUGUGUAUGUGUGUGUGUGUGUGAGGUUCCUGUGGAGCUCAGCAUGUGCUCUGUGCCCGAGUUCGCUCCACCCAGACGCUCGUCCCCUACCCGCUUCUGGAGAAGAGCCAGGAUCUGGAGGGACCGCUGUCACAAGAGGGAGGGAGAGGGAGCGUGUUAAGGUUGAAGAGGACUUCCGAGAGUAAUGUCUUCAGAAAGCUGUGCUAAAUGCGUUGAAGCUACAUACAUAUGCCACAUAGAAUGAUGUUUCUGUAAUAGAAUUAUAAAUAAUUGCUGCAAAUCUUAAGUGUAACCAUCAUUCUUGCCACCUGAACGCUCUCCAGAGAACCAAAUUCCUGCCAUUAACACAUCAGAGGAAGCAUUUUAUCUCGUACGUGUGCGUUGUCCGUAAUCUCCGUCGUGCCCUGCACAUUUCCGACUCGCGCUCAGUGUGCCGUUUGUGUAUUUGCUAUAAUUGGUAUGGAUAUUCGCCAAGAGCGAAGAUAAAGAUCCAUCUGAGAUCCUUUUGUCCUUGAAUGGCGCAAUGUGGGAAUUCGCUAGCCCUUUUCCCUCCUUUAUUCCGUAGCUCAGCGUGGGGAAUUGGUGGGAUGAGACGCUAUUCCCUAAAUAGCCCAUGGCAAAAGGUAGCCUGAUUAGCAUGCUGUCUGCUAGGCAUUCCUCCAGGCCACGAGCGCUAGCUAUCACUUACUAACUAUUUGUAUUUAUAGUUGUGUGUGUGUGUGUGUGUGUGUGUGUGUGGUGUUAUAAUUAGAAUGAGCACAGGAAGCGUGUUUGCUUUUGAUCAGCUGCCAGCCUCGCGCAGUGCCGCCGUGCCACAGCCCUCACUGCUCCCAGUGGAUCAUGGAAAACAGCAAGGACUGUUCUAGAAAGAGCCUGAGAGCAUUGCACUUGCUCAAGGUCGAACAACAGAAUGGAAGAGGCGAUAUCCCGGACUGAAACUAUAUCAAAUAAAAAUGGAGGAAAGUCUUCAGGACCCUGAACCUGGAACUGAAAUGGACAUAACUGGGAUUAUAGGUCAUGAAUCUGCACAACAUAGCCCUUAAUAUUGAAA